rnacentral:tRNA from 1 species
GGGCGCGUAGCUCAGCGGUAGAGCAUCGUCUUGACAUGGCGGUGGUCACAGGUUCGAUCCCUGUCGCGCCCACCA